rnacentral:rRNA from 1 species
AUUGAACGCUGGCGGCAGGCUUAACACAUGCAAGUCGAGCGGAGAUGAGGUGCUUGCACCUUAUCUUAGCGGCGGACGGAUGAGUAAUGCUUAGGAAUCUGCCUAUUAGUGGGGGACAACAUUCCGAAAGGAAUGCUAAUACCGCAUACGUCCUACGGGAGAAAGCAGGGGAUCUUCGGACCUUGCGCUAAUAGAUGAGCCUAAGUCGGAUUAGCUAGUUGGUGGGGUAAAGGCCUACCAAGGCGACGAUCUGUAGCGGGUCUGAGAGGAUGAUCCGCCACACUGGGGCUGAGACACGGCCCAGACUCCUACGGGAGGCAGCAGUGGGGAAUAUUGGACAAUGGGGGGAACCCUGAUCCAGCCAUGCCGCGUGUGUGAAGAAGGCCUUAUGGUUGUAAAGCACUUUAAGCGAGGAGGAGGCUACUGAGACUAAUACUCUUGGAUAGUGGACGUUACUCGCAGAAUAAGCACCGGCUAACUCUGUGCCAGCCGCCGCCGUAAAAC